GGCUAACGCUGGCGGCGUGUCUUAGCCAUGCAAGUCGAGCGGACUUAUGGGGUAACUUAUAAGUCAGCGGCGGACGGCGGAGUAACACGUAGCUAACCUACCCUCUGGACGGGGAUAACCUACCGAAAGGUGGGCUAAUACCCGAUGUAGUCAUCCUGUAUAGGGGUGAUGAAAGGUGGGCUUCUGUUUACAAGCUCAUGCUGGAGGAGGGGGCUGCGGCCUAUCAGGUAGUUGGUAGGGUAAUAGCCUACCAAGCCGAUGACGGGUAGCCGGCCUGAGAGGGUGACCGGCCCGAGGGGCACUGAGAUACGGGUCCCACUCCUACGGGAGGCAGCAGGCUAGAAAUUUGGGCAAUGGGGGAAACCCUGACCCAGUGACGCCGCGUGCAGGAAGGAGCCCUUCGGGGUGUAAGCUGCUGUCGUGUAGGGAGAAGGGUACUAAGGUGAACAAUCUUAGUACUUGACGGUACUACAGGAGGAAGCCCAGGCUAACCUCGUG
rnacentral:rRNA from 1 species